UCCUGUUUGGACCUCUCUCUUCCUCCUCAUCUCUCUCAGGUUGGUCGUUUCUUUCUGUAGCAAUCUUAGAAUCUUUUCUUCACUUUAUAUAGAAUCUUUUGUUCUGCUUCUCUCUCUUGCCGAUCAAUGUCUUCGAUUUACAUAUGGCCACUCACUCACACCCAUAAUAGCUUUUGCUGCGUUGAUCUUUAAAAUUUAAACACCUAUCUCCUUUUUCUUUCUUCAGAAAAAGAAAAAUUACUUGUAGGUUUAGCGAGUUCUGGGGUUUCAGGGAGAUUCUACUGAACCAUGGGUUUUGAUAAUGAGUGCAUACUGAACAUUCAAUCCCUGGCUGGAGAGUACUUCUGUCCUGUUUGUCGUCUGUUAGUCUAUCCAAAUGAAGCUUUACAGUCUCAAUGCACUCACCUUUACUGUAAGCCAUGCUUAACAUAUAUUGUGAGCACUACCCGUGCUUGCCCUUAUGAUGGCUACUUGGUGAGAGAAGAAGAUUCCAAGCUUCUUACUGAAUCAAACAAAGGUCUUGCUGAAACCAUCGGCAAAAUAACAGUUCAUUGUCUAUACCAUAGGAGUGGAUGCACGUGGCAGGGUCCUUUGUCUGAUUGUACUUCUCAUUGUUCUGGAUGUGCCUUCGGUAAUUCUCCUGUUGUGUGUAACAGGUGUGGAAUUCAAAUUGUGCAUCGUCAGGUGCAGGAACAUGCACAAAAUUGUCCUGGUGUGCAAACUCAAGCUCAAUCUGAUGCUGCUCAGGAUGCCACAACCACAGGGACAGCUCCUGUUGGUGAUCAGACAGGAAAUACUGCCACUCAAGCCCAGGCUUCUCAAACCGCAGCAUCCACAUUGCCUGGACAAGAUCCCAAUCAGCAGGCCAACCAAACUGCACAGCCCCAGUCUGUCGCACAGGGUACUGUGCCCUCAGCAGAACAGUGGUAUCAACAGCAACAACAAUAUCAACAAUACUACCAGCAAUACCUGGGAUAUGAUCCUUAUCAGCAAUACUACCCUUAUCAACAGCAAGCAGUUCCACAAUACCAACAACCUCAGGUUUAUAUGCAGCAGCCUCAACUCCCCCAAACCCAAGUUCAACCUCAGGCGCAAUUGCAAACACAACCGCAGCCAUAUCCACAUGUUCAGCUGCCUGCUACUGCACCACCUGCGAACCAGCCACAAGUCAAUCCGCAGCAACAAACUCACACUACAGCUCAGCCACAGUCUCAAACACAAUCACAGAUACACCCACCACCCCAUGGCCAACAGCAACCUCAGUCUCAGCUGCACCCACAAACCCAUCCUGUUCACCAUCAUCCACAGCACAUACAAAUGCCUCAAUAUCCGCAGCCCCAUUCACAGGUGCAGCAUCCACCGCCACAAGUUCAAGCACAGGCUCAUCCUCAACUCCAUCCCCAGUAUCCUGUUCCUCAACCACAGGCACAAGCACAAGCACAAGCACAAGCACAAGCACAACCUCAACCUCAACCUCAACCUCAACCUCAACCUCAAGGUAUGCCACAAACACAUGCUCAAGCUCAACAUGUACAGCCUCAUCCACAGCCCUUCACUUCUCAACCAAACCUGCCAGUGAAUCCUCCUUAUCUGCAGCCUCAGCCACAAUAUUCAUCUGCCAAUGCAGUUACAGGCCAUAACUCUUAUCCGCAACCACAGCCUCAACAGCAAAUGCAGCUGGGAGGUCCGCAACAUCCUGCUCAUUUGUAUCCUCAAGGUGGGCCUCAACCACAAUCACAUCUUGCCCAAAUGCAGAGUCAGUUUCCUCAACAACCUCCUGUGUUGCGGCCACCACAAGCUCAUGGUCCAAUUCAAAACCCUCAGCAACCAGGAUUAUUACCUUCACCUGGUCAGGUCCCUAAUGUUGCUCCUGCACAACAGCCACCAGUGCAUCCCCAGGUUCACCAUCCUGGACUUCCUCAUCAACGCCCUGUUAUGCAGUCAGUUCAGCAACCAGUUCAUCAGCAGUAUAUGCAGCAACAGCCGUCUUCUGGACAAGCACUGGGGCCAGUUCAGAAUCAAGUGCCUCAGCAAGGUGCUUACAUACAGCAACAACUGCAGUCUCAAUUACGUCCCCUGGGGCCAUUGCCAUCAUUCCAGCAGCCUUCUCAUGCCUACCCACAGCCACAUCACAAUGUUUCAUUACCACAUGGCACGCAACCUUAUCAAGGCCAAAAUCUGGGAAGACCUAUGGUGCCACCUCAUGGAGUGCCAACUCAGCCACAUCCACACUUGUCUUCCAGCAUGCCGGUCAGGCCAAUGCAGGUUGAUGCAGGACAGUCUGGAAACACCUUGAGGACCAACAACCAAGAUCAAUUGUUUUCUGAACAACAGUCUGGGGCUACUACAAGACCAAUGUCUGAGCGACCAGGGGAUCAUAUUAUUGAGAAAAGUUCAGAAGCUGAAUCUACUCAUGAAAGUGUUAAAAGGGAUCCAAAUGAUUUGGCUGUUGCUUCUAGAGUUGGGGCUGAUGCAGGUGAGGUAAAAACUGUAAAAUCUGAAAGCAUUUUGAAGUUAGCGGUUGAUGAAAGGAAGUCCAGGGAGGAAAUCCAGGAUCUUGGAGGGGAGAAUGGAGAGUUAUCGAUUAAGCAGGUGAAGAAAGAACCUAAAGAGGCCAUUGAUGAACAGAAAGAUGUUUCUAAUACUGACCACAGAAGAUUUGAACAUUCUGUGUUGGAGGACAACGAAAUGAAGGGCAGGCCUCAGUUGAAAACUCCUCCACUGCAUGAAGGUGAACACUUUGAAGACCGUGGUAUGAAAUCACAAAAGGACAGGAAUGUGACUCCUCAACGUUCUGGAGGCUUUGCUUUGCACAGUCAGUUGCAAGGUGAGGGCUUGGUGCAGCCCUCUCAUUUGGUUCCCAUUUCUCAUGGACCUUCUGUCCUCCAACAACGGCCUGUUGGGUCCCCAUUGUUACAAGUACCUCCUCCUGGACCCCCACACCACAUGCAAUUACCUGGGCAUCCAUCUGCUCCAUCUAGGCCUUUGGAUUCUGGACAUAUGCCUCAUCCUGGACAACCUUUGAAUCCACUCCCUGAACAUCCUCAGCAACCUCUUUACAAUCAGUCUCUCAGUGCUGAAAUCUCUCCUGCUGGCAUUUCAGGCCUCGGUUCUACUUCAAUCUUUGGGAGGGGUCCUAGUCAUUAUGGUACGCAAGGACAUGGACACACUUUGCCAGGUGAACGAACUGCAUCGUAUGGCCAUGAGUCUGACAUGUUUCCAAAUCAGAGGCCCAAUUAUAUGGAUGGCAGAAGAAUAGAUCCACUUGGGCAACAAGCUGGUGCAUUGAGAAUGAAUGGUGCCCCAGGGCCAGACUCCUCGGUGCUUGGAUUGCGGGAUGAUCGAAUCAAGCCUUUGCCAGAUGAUCAUAUGAAUUCAUUUCCACAAGAUCCAUCGCGAAUUGUUGAUCGUGCUGAGUUUGAAAAAGAUGCCAAGCAUUUCCCUAGGUCUUCUCAUUUGGAUGCUGAUUCAAUUAAAGAAUAUGGGAAUCACUUGCCCCCUUCAAGACCUCUUGAUAGGCUACCUCAUAGUUUUGGCAUGGAUUUCCCACUGAAAACCCCCGAGAAGGGACUGCAUGCUAUGAAUUAUGAUUCUGGGAUGAAAUUGAAACCUCUUGGUGGCUCUGCCCCUUCAAGGUUUUUUCCUCCUUAUCAUCACGAUGGUGUAAUGCAUCCCAAUGAUAUGGGAGAAAGACCAAUUGGUUUUCAUGACAAUACAGCGGGCAGACAGCCAGAUGCUGCUCCAACUCCACAAGAUCUUUUUGGACCAGUUCCUAGAUAUGGUCGUCGUUAUAUGGAUGGUUUGGCCCCUAGAAGUCCAGGUAGGGAUUACCCUGGUGUAACCUCACAUGGAUUUGGGGCCUUUCCUGGAUUUGAUGAUAUUGCUGGCAGGGAAUCACAUCGGUUUGGUGAUUCAUUUCAUGUUAAUAGGUUUCCAGUUUUUCCUGGCCAUUUACACAGGGGUGAGUUUGAGGGUCCUGGUCAAGAUGGAUUUCCUAACCAUUCUAGGAGGGGUGAACAUUUAGAUCCUAAUAACUUGCCUGGUCAUAUGCGUAUGGGAGAGCGUUUUGGUUUUGGUGCGUUCCCUGGUCCUGCAAGGAUGGGAGAAUUGCCUGGAUCAGGGAAUUUCUUUCAUCCCCGACUUGGUGAGCCUGGAUUUAGGAGCAGCUUUUCCCUCAAAGGAAUUCCUGGGGAUGGUGGAAACUAUCCAGGUGACUUAGAAUCUUUUGAUAGUUCGAGGAGGAGGAAGGCAUCUAGCAUGGGAUGGUGUCGCAUUUGUAAAUUUGACUGUGAAACAGUUGAAGGCUUAGACACACAUUCACAAACGAGGGAGCAUCAAAAGAUGGCUAUGGAUAUGGUUUUGACAAUCAAGCAGAACGCCAAAAAGCAGAAAUUAGCCCCCAGUGAUCAUUCCUCACUUGAUGAUGCAAGCAAGUCAAGGAAUGCCAGUUUUGAGGGCCGUGGAAAUAAGAAUUAAGUUGGGGUGUCAUCUUGCAAUGUGAAUCACCUGAGUGGACUGCUACUCUCAGGGUUGAUUUUUUUUCGCUUUGGUAUAGUUUUGAACUUGGGGCGUAGGUGACUGGACCCUCCAUUUGUCUGCUUUCUGGGUGGUUUUGCUAGUCCUGUCCUUUCAGGUUGUUGCCCUGUUAAAGGAGGUGGUUUUCCGACCUGAAUUUCAGUGGCAAUUUUUUCAAUUCGACCUGUCUUUUUACGACGAAGCAGACAACAAAAAGACUGAAAGUUCAGCGGAAAGGUUUACACGGUCAUCUUUUUUAGAUAUGGUAAUGUUGAGUUCAAUAUGCAGAUGUAAGUAGUGAUUUUUUUGAUCAUUGCCAUUGAUGUUCUUGAAUUUUGCUUUGUCAUUGUUGGAAUUUUUUUGAAUAUGUUGCUGCUUUUGUGAUCCAAGUAUUCUAUAGCUGAAAUUAUACUGCGAUGGCCUUUUGUGAUUGCUGGAAACUUUGAGAGGCUUAGAGCACUUGAAACAUUCCUUUUAGAAAAGUUCCAACUUGCCAAUUUGUACAUAACAAAUAUUUGUUUAGCAUACUUUUGCUCUUCUUCUCAUCUCUUAAUUAGCAAUUAGAGUUCUUAGGAUGUUUUUAUUUCAGAUUAAUUUUGCAAUGUUUUAACUGCCUUAUCAUUUGAGAAAUACAAAUAAUUUGCCAAACAUGAAGCGAGGCACUAGAUUACUAGUCUAAUGAAAUUACUGAAGGGGAGGUCUACGUUAUAACAUUUGGUUCAAAUGUAAGUGUUAUUCUGCUAAAAAACAUUGUUGAGUUAAACAUGAACAAUUAACUUGCAUACAACUUCAGGGCCUUUAGGUUUUUAUGUGCCUGUAAUUUUUUAUUUUUCCAGUUGGAUACUCGAGAAUAGGAAGAAUUAGUUCCUCCAGAUAAAGCUUUAACCAUUGAGCACUAGAUUGUGGUUGUGGGUAUUGUGAAAGAGAGUAUGGGCAUUGUGUUAUUAUGGGGCCUAAUUUUUGAGAUUCAUCAGAUAUCCCUACAAAUUUGGUUCGGCUGACAUCAAACAAAGAUCAUCGUAGCCUGCAAGAAAAGAUAUUUAGUCAAUUAGGAUUAUGGUUUUGUAGGACAAUUGGGAUCUGCUGUCUCCACUGUGUUACAUGAAGAAAUAUAAACUCAUUUAGUAAAAAUUGGUUGGCUACUAGUUAGAAGAAAAGUUUUCAAUGAUAAAUCAUUAGAGCCUUACAAAUGACCGUAAACUUUCUGAAGCUACUUUCAUUUUCUAUUCCAGUGCUCAGAUGACUUCCUGACAAUUUCAGGCACAAAUGUAAUAUUGCGUCUAAAAGAAUCAAGUCCAUCUGAAUCCUUUAAGAGCUGUCUGAUAAUGACUGCUACUCUAUAGUUGGUUUAAAUUGAUAUAGUGAGAUAUGUAAUCAUGAUUUUUCAAUAUGUAAACCUGAAAAUAGGCAAUACAGGAUCCUGUGAAGCCCAUUUAGAUAGGUAUACUCAAACGUGCACAAUAUAUAAACAUAAACGUUGGAAAACAUUUCAUAUACAAGGACAUCAAAUGUUGUAUUCCAAAAUAUUCUUUUCUGUGAAAUUGAAUUGGCUGUCAAAAUCAGUAAUUGCAAUAAUAUUUGGGUUACUGAAUGGGAUGCUUGUAUAAUGUUAACUGAAUUUUUGAUCGGAUCUUAAUGCUUUUUUAUUAUUUAGUGGAAUUUGAGUCCUAUUAACCAUAACUGAUGCAACAAUUAUAAUUUUUAAUUCUGAUGCAUGCUGUUUUUUAAUGUAUACCAUCAUGCACAUUGGAAAUUAUUACUUCAAUUGUCAAUAAAAUAAUUUUACAUUUUUCUUAAAGAACUUUAACUAAUAAAAUGUAGAAGUUGGACAUAAAGUAUAUUUUAAGAAGGUGAAAAUCUAUUGAGAAAUGUAGAGUUUACAUUGUUAUAAAGGUGUAAAAAAAAGACCAUGUAUAUGCAUAUAUGGUAAAUUUAUUGAUGUCCAUAAAAAAUUAUGCUCUAAUUAUACUCAAAUAUAUUUUCCACUUAAUAAUAUUAAUAAUGAUUUUAUUGUUUUAAUUAAAUCUUAAUGUAUGAUUUUUUUUUUUUAUAAAAGAUGGGUGGAAAGUUAAUAGAAUUAUUUGUUUUCUAACUAAAAUAACUAGUAAUUCUUAAUAUGUGUGAAAAAGUAAGGUGGGUAAAAAUUAUGAAAUGGAGGAAUAAUUUAUUGUAAUAGUUAUAUUUUAUUCUUUAUAAUAAUGAUAUUAAUUACAUUAUUAGUUUUAAAUAAAAUAUAAUAUAAACAGUGAUAAUACCUAUGCAUAAAUAAUUAUAAAUAAUCAACUAGUAUUUGAAAGGAAAAUUUACUAUUCAGUCUCUAUAUUAUAAAGAAAUCAUUAGUUGGUUCCUUAAUUUUGAAAAAUAUAUUAAAACGUCAUUUGAUAUCUUAAAAAGUUUAUAAAUUAGUCUUUCGAUUAGUUUUAGUUGUUAAAUAUUGCAAAAAAAGUCUAAAAUACCCUCAAUAUGGAGAGAUCAUAGUUAUUGGAUUCUCUCAACCUUCCUUCGAACAGCAUUCUGAGUACUUAGUGCUGAAAUGCGAUACUUUUGGUCCCAAGUCAUUGGGAGACACGAUUUGAGUCAAUAAAAUAGAGGUUCCAACAAGAAAUAAAAAGAUGAAGGGCUAUAAAAAAGGAAAAGUAAAAUGAAUAAAAUACAUUUUUUAAAAAUACUUUAAGUGAGACAAGACACAUAGUAGAUUUAAAUGUUAGUGGAAUAGGUAGCAAUGUUAAUUUGGGAGUGUAAAUUACUAUUUUGUUAGUUAAAUUUUAAAAUAUUUUCAGAAACUAUAAAUGUUAUCAACUAUUUAAUUAUGUAAACAUUAUAUUAUAUUGCAUUAACGAAAUUUACAUAACCUAAAUUAAAUUGCUUCACUAACUAAAAAUACUACUAGCUGAAUUAAUGUGUACAUAUUAAGCCUAUCCCCUACAUAUCCUAUAUUUCUUUAUUGUCGGAAUGGUACCAUAACUUGAAAGUACCACGAUUUAGGUAACCACGGGAGGGGCUAAUUAAUAAAUUUUUUAAUUAACUGAGUACUAAUUUAUGUGUUUUUCAAACCAUAAGGACUAAAUAGUAAAAUACUUAAUAGCUAAAAUUAAUGUUACUAACUAAUUAGUAGACUUUUUAAAAUAUAAGGGACGCUUUAAUGUAUUUUUUAAAAUUGAGUGAUCAACUAAUAAUUUUUCUCAUAAUAUAGGGGCUAAAUAAUAAUUUUUCCUAUUUGAAAUAAAUAGAAAUGACAAAUUUUGGAAAAUAAAAGAAAGGAGCAUCACUUUUACAGGAAUGAUAUGCAGUGAACAUCACUUGGACUAGGAUGAAACUUAAGGUGCUUCAAACCUAAGGACCAACUACAUUACUAUGAGGUGAACUAACCGAACUUCUACUCUUAUAGCCUAACAAAACCCAUAUAUAUUGUUGGCACAGCUUGACUUGAUGUAAACCUACACAAGUAGCAAAUGCAUGCUGGAUAUAUUCGUAGAGGUUCUACUUUAAAAAACAUCGAGUAGUUCAGCACAAGAGAAUGGUUAUUGCUUGCUUUUAAAAUGGACUUUUGGUUGCAGUUUGCUAUUAUGAUUGUUAAUGUUUCUUAUGCUUCAUCAUCUUCUUUGUCAUCUAUACAUAUUGCAAAACUGGGGCUUUACUUGAAGCUAUGGCCAGCCUAUUUGAACGGUGGAUGCAAAUUCUGGACUUCAAACCCUGCUUGUUCAUUAUGUUGUCCAGGUUUGUUGUUUUUAUUCCUGAACAUUCUCUGUUGGAAUCAUCUGUUGAGACAGCGACUCUCCUGUCUGGAUAUUGUUUUAUGUUUUUUUUCCCUCAGAGGUAUACGGGUGCAGUUUUGUUAGUUUUAGUUGUCAUGUGGCUUUGGAAAAUAUCCUCUAGGACUCACCCUAUUACUUCAAAUUUUACUCUAAUUAAUCCCUAAAAUUAUUCUAUAGUGAUUAGGAAGACAAGCAACUACUCAACUUUUUGUCGCACUCCUCCUUAAAGCUGGAAUCUCAUCAAUUCUAACACUUUCCUUUCCUGAGAUUUUUAUUUAAGCCACCCCUUCCAGCACAUAAUCUCCAACUUCAAGAACACCUUCAAAGAGGCACUAAACCAGAAAGCAACUCGAUUGAUUGCACAAAUGUGAGGUUAUUUACAAUACUUCACUUCCAGAACACCUUCACUAAGGCAAACGGGAGGUCACAAAAUCACCAAUAACGCCUGUCCCAAGUUGAAACACACGAUAAUAACAAGAGUACCACUAAACUAUAGAAGUCAGUCAAACAAGGGCUGUUUCACUAUACACCUUGAAAAUGACUUCAAACAUUAUUAGAGGCGGUGAUUCCAGAAAAGUUGGAGAUGAUGAAGUCAACCCACACUGAAGGGUGGGACUGCAACCAAAGCAUAGAACUAGCGUGGAGGCUUAUGUGCUGGUCUUCCAAUGACCUAUUUUGGAGGGAGGGUUACCGUUAGCUAGGCUUUCUCAUAGAAGAGGCAUUGGGACAAAAAAAUCACUCUAAAAAAGUGACUUAUGACAGUAGGCAUUUCAGCAUAUAGAGCGUUCAACCAAUGAUUAAAACCAAGCACAAAAAAGAGACUCGAAUAAGUAGCAACUGAAGCAUUCUACAAUUGAAACAAAGAACUGGAAAUGGGGGAAGAAAUUGUUAAAGUGAGGAUAAAAAUUGGUAGAAAAUAAUGUGAGGUUAUUUAUAUUGUUCAGCUCGAGAGCCUUUAUCUAUGGACACACAACCUCAAAGGGUAUCUUCUUUUUUAUAAAAGAAAAUGUUAUAUACGCAUAAUACAAAAAGUUCCCUAUUUAUAAUGGAUGACUAACUACAUGAUACUAAAUUAAGGGAUUCUCUUACUAACUAGGAAUAUUAUCAAUUCUCCCUAACAUAAAGUUAUAAAUAUAAAUGAUUCAAUCUAUUUAGGAAUGCAAAUUCUAUACUAAACAGGAACAAAUUUCCGUAACACUGUAAUUUCAAAACUCCUCAAUGAGAUUUUGUGUAAAGCCAGAAAACUUCCUUGCAAUAGCUUGCAACUAUUUAAAAGCAUUUGUACAAAGGCACUCACCCAAAGCACUGCAAAACAACUUCAGAAAACUACCUUCUCAAGAAGCGAUGAGAAAACAUCAACACAAAGUCCUUUCCAAAGACAUUGCUUGCAAGGCAACAUCAAUGCAAAGUUUCUAUGCAAAUGCAAUAUUGGCAAGGAAACAUCAACUCAAAGUAGCUCACCAAAAGCAAUGCCGACAAGAAAAUAACAAUGCAAAACAACUAUAACAUUGCAUAAAAUGCACCAAUCAAUCAAACAAACAAACUUAGAUGUGAACAAUGCAUGUGAAAUGUGCCUGCGAUAGUACCAAUAAGCAAUAUACAUGUACAUACUAAUGAACAUUACUAGUGAGCAGUGCCUGAAGCCCUAAGGAAUCUAAGACUCUAACACCAUGUUAAAACAAGAAGAACAAAGGAGAAAGAAGAAAAUAACAUGAGAAUACUUGCGUGAUUUGGUUACAAUAGCCUUCAUUUGUGGAUAUAAAAAUUAAAACCUCAAAAAGCUGCAUCUUUAUUUUAAUUAUGUUCUAUAUUCAAAUAUAUAAGCUUUCCUUUUUAUAAUUGAAGACCCAAAGCAUGAUAUCUUAAUUUAAGAGAUUCUCCAACAAAAAUGAAACUAGAAAUGUGAAAAUAAAUUAUACUAUCUAUUUAGGAAAGCAUGUUCUAUGCUAAAUAGGAAUAACUUUUUAUGGCACCCCUUAAUUGGAGCAUGGAAUCUUGUAAUUUCCUACAUAAAUAAAAAAAAUAAAAAAAAAACAAAUUUUCUAGCACCAAUUUUAACCUAUCUGUGCUACCAUAUUAAGAUUAAGAAUUAUAUGUAGGAGAAAGAAAAUGGGGGGAAGAAAAAGGAAAAGGACUAAAAUAUGGCUACAUUUUAAUUUUUCAAUUCUAUAUUCUAUAGAAAGGUAAGAUAUCUAUAUGCAAACAUCCCCUAAAAACUCAUCCUGAGUAAUCCUUUAUUAUGUUUUCAUAAUUAUGCUCUCUGAGUAGGAAUGCAAAUAUAUAUUUAGUCAACUUCCAAUGCACUCUCCCUCGAGUAGGAAUCUUAUCAAUUCGAACAGAAUUCAGAACUGCAGAGGAGAAGAACUACAUUAUAUAUAAUAGUUAGUAUUUGUAUUUUUUGGUUCAAAUCAAGGACAUGUUGGGAAAUAUUUCAUUUCGUAGUCCCCUGGUUAUUGGUGCAAGUGGUUUAUGUUUUUGGUUGAAAUCUUACUUGUCAAUGAAGAUGAUUUGAUAUUUUUCUAGGUAAGGAUAAUACUAUUACGAGGAAAGUAGUCAUGCUCCCUCUAUAAGGGAUGAGUGUAUAUGAAUCGGUAAUGAACAGUGAUUAUUUGUUUAUUGGUUUUCAUUAUACACAUGGAUGUAAUCUGCAAAUUAGCUGCAUUAAGCAUAUGACAUAUAAAAAACUGGAAUAAUGUGGUUGAUAACCUGAGAAUAGAGAAUGUCUUUCAACUAAGAAUUGUUCGCCUCAUGUUCAAGAAGAUGCAUGAGGAGAAUAACAUGCACACAUAAAUCUUCUCUUCAAACUCUUGUGAAUAGGCUUUGUUGGGUCCAUGUUGUGUUUGUGUGCCUAUAAUUAUCUUUUGGUCACCUAAGCAACAGUUCCAUAUGCAGUACAAUUUAGGAUAAAUUAUUAGAACUCCCCAUGAAAUUGUAAGUAGUGUACUCUUUUUGCUGCAGUUUCUGAAUCAAGUACUUCAGUUCAUAAUGAAGGAUAAUGGAUUAUAGGAUUAGACAUUGUAUUUUAGUGUAUUAUGGUUUACAAUAAACCACAUGAAAUUUUAAAUGUAAAACACUUUAUAAUCUCAAAAAGAGCUGAGCUAUUUUAUACUAAAUUAGACUAAAAAUUUUAAAAAUUUAAUUGUACUUUUUUUUAUCUAAAUAACUGUAUUAUACAAGACAAAUAAAAAAUUUUAUCAUGCUAAUAGGGAUUAGAUUGUCAAAUUUGAAACAAUAUGUCAAAAUGUACAUUAUUGAAAACCCUAGAUAGGGGUUUUCUCGGUAUUUUACCCUAUAAUAUAUAUAUAUUUUUUCCCAUGUUUUCUAUUCCUUCUAAGGUAGUUUUGAGAUGUUUUGGAUUUUUUGGUGGUUAAUUUUUUGCAUCUAUUUCAAAAUAACAAUUUAUUAUGUUCUGAAUGCAAAAUUAGUUUUAUUUUUGUGAAAUAUAUUAUAUAUUAGGAACUUCAAUUUCAAUUUUAUCCGACUCUAUCAAUGUAUAUAAUAAAUUCUUAAUGUUUUCUGUGGUGGUUCUGGCCUGUUAGAUAAAAAAAGUGGAGGGAAAAAACAAUUAUCGCGGAAGGUUUUAUUUUUAUUAUGUAUUUAUAAGAAAAUAAUUAAAAUAGUAUUUAUUUUUUUAUUAUACAAGAAAGUUUUGCAUAAUUUGGUAGUCAGUACACUAGCCUUAUUAUUAUACAGAAAAUUGAGUAAGCUUAAUGCAGUAGUCUUUCUCAUAUUUAUUAAUACAAUAGUUUUGUAAUAUUCUAAAUAAUAUUAUUUAGUUAUUUUAAUUUUAAGUAAUAACUCUGUAAAUAAUAUAUAGUUCAAAUAAUAAUUGAUAUUAGACGCAGAUAGUUAGAUUCUAAACAUUCACUACCAAUAUUUCAAAAUAUUUAGAGAUUCAGAUAAUUGACGUUCACAUCCUACUUUUGAUGAUGCUAUAUAAAAAUUAUUCAGAAAAUGCAAACCACUUGGUAUUGUGGCCCUGCUGUUAUGCUGUGAAUUUUUCACUUGAAAUUCAAUGGACUAUAUUAUUAUAUACAUUAUUAAAUUGCAAACAAAGAUAUAACAAAAUUAUAUGUUUAUUACCAAACUAUAUCAAUAUUUGAAUAAUGACUGAAUUUUAAAAUUGGGUUAAUUUUAUGUUCUUUAUUUUUAACUUUUCCUCAUUUGAUAAUGUUUAAUUUGCAGGUCAUUUUGCUUGAUUAAAUUCUCGAGUAAAUUCAAAACAGUAGUUCAAUUAGUCAUCAUAAUGUUUAUAUUAUAUUAUUAUCAUAAUUUGUAUUUUAAAUAAUGAUUUUACAAUAAAAAAUAUUAAAAUUAUAAACAAUAUAAUUAAGAAAUCUUACAAUUUUUAUUAUAAAAUGUAUAUUAUAAUAAUAAUAAUAAUAAUGAAAUGUAAAAAAUAAAAAAAUAAAAACAAACCUAACAGCGUCAGAUGGGCUUGAUUGAUGGCUGGCAAAAAUAGAUUUCCCUUACGCAGGAGUAACUAACGGCAGGGUCUUCCGCAGGUGGGGUAUUAUUUUGCCACCUGGCAUAAAACACCCUACUUUCACAAAAACUUUUCAAAUCCCAACCCCAAUAACAAUUUUUUUCUCCACUUUUUUUGUAUAAAAAACCCGUUUGGGCUUUUUUUGGCCUAGCAAUAAAAGGUUCAAACGUUUGUGCAAGUUCUCCCACGUCUAAAACUCUCCACUCCCUUUUCCCCUUGAAUAAUCUUCAGCAACAAUUUAACUUUUUGUUUUCCGUUUUAAGUGGAUCUGUCUGGUCUUAUCUAGUUUUGGUUGAACCAAUGGCUGUGUGAAAGAUGGCCAUGUUGUAGAAAUCUCAGUAGAUGCAAAGAACCAAUAGACCAUUUUGUGCCGUAAACAGGCUCACAGAAAUUUGAAAAUAAUCCACUGACAAUGGAAAAAAGUUGCUAUUAUUUUCUCUAAACAGGCUAAAAUAUGACAAGAUUAAAAGGGUGGGAGUGGGAGAGAAUUUGAAUUUUCUUUAUUUAUCCUGUAAAGUGAGGUACAUAUGCUCUUUUGUGAUAUCUUGUAGGCAGAAUUGUGUUAUGGAUAUGCCACUGGCAACUCUUUUAUCAUUUUUUAAGGUCAUUUUAAAAAGUUUACCUUUUCGAUGCAUCAUGGCCUGGCAUAUAUCUGCUCGUUUGAGCUCUGAUUAUUUGAUUAUAGUUAAAAAUAAUUAUGACAAGAUUUAGGCAUUUGAAUGAAUGAUUAUUUAGUGUGCUUGUAGAAUCUGUUGAAGUUGCAUAUGCCUCAUCCUCAUCCUCUUGGGUGCUUUUUCUUAGUAAACAAUAUUUGUUAGGGACGAAAACCUUGUAGUCUUUGAAAGUGUCUUGCUUACUUUUAUUGUAAAACUAAAGCAUGGGAACGUGUAGAUGCAAUCGUAUGUGGAAGAAUUAGAACUUGAACUCACUCAAAAACAAAAAUAAAAAGAAAGAGAAAGAGGAUUUUUGUAGAAGCGCGCAAAUAAAAGAACUUCCGUAAUCGGAUUAGUUUUGUUAAGAAAAUAUCUUUGUUCUAGUAGCUCUUAUUGCAUUUGAACUUUUAUUGCUUUUGAAGUGUUCCGAAAGAAACAGCAAAGCAUCUUCUACUGAUGUUGCUCAAUCUUCCGCUGUUCUUGAGGAAGGUGAAUCAAUUACUUGAUAUAUCUUUGAAUCUGGUUUUCUUCUUAUAUUCCAAGUAUCAAAUUCCCCGAAAAAGGUUCUCUCUUAUUCCUAUUCAAGUCCAGUUUCAACAUUGAUUUGAUUGUCCUGUGAAGUGAAGAGUGGUGUGGGUCUUUUCCUCUACAACGACAGCGGGCAUAGUUGUGGUCUUCCCUGUAGUUCGAAUUGGCUGUGAUGCAUUCCAAUUAUGCGACAGUUGGAAUGUUGAGGUGGCUAUGAAUCGAAUUGAAGGUUCUAUCGAG